UACGGAGGGGGCUAGCGUUGUUCGGAAUUACUGGGCGUAAAGCGUCCGUAGGCGGCUUGCCAAGUCAGAGGUGAAAUCCCACGACUCAAUCGUGGAACUGCCUUUGAGACUGGUUCGCUUGAAGAUGGGAGAGGUUAGUGGAAUUCCGAGUGUAGAGGUGAAAGUCGUAGAUAUUCGGAAGAACACCAGUGGCGAAGGCGGCUAACUGGACCAUUCUUGACGCUGAGGGACGAAAGCGUGGGGAGCAAACAGG
rnacentral:rRNA from 1 species